ensembl:snRNA U2 U2 spliceosomal RNA
AUCGCUUCUCGGCCUUUUGGCUAAGAUCAAGGGUAGUAUCUGUUCUUAUCAGUAAAUAAAUCACCAUGCCAUACAGUUAAUAAACUUAAGUGUUGUGUGUGUGUGUCUUCAUAUGAAAAUCUAAUGACUGUUCGUCAAGGGCUGUAUUAGACAUUUU